rnacentral:rRNA from 1 species
UACAGAGGGUGCAAGCGUUGUUCGGAAUUACUGGGCGUAAAGGGCUCGUAGGUGGCCAACUAAGUCAGACGUGAAAUCCCUCAGCUUAACUGGGGAACUGCGUCUGAUACUGGAUGGCUUGAGUUUGGGAGAGGGAUGCGGAAUUCCCGGUGUAGCGGUGAAAUGCGCAGAUAUCGGGAGGAACACCAGUAGCGAAGGCGGCACUCUGGGCCGUGACUGACGCUGAGGAGCGAAAGCGUGGGUAGCAAACAGG